UACGGCGGGCUGGGCGGCGGCGCGGUGCUGGCGGGGGGCGGCGGCGGCUCUCCGCCCGGCGGGCUCGGUCUCUAUGCGCCGCGACCGCCGCCGCGUGCACCUCCAAGGUGGAAUGCUCCAUUCCCGACAUUAGAAGAAGAGUUCAACAUAAUGACGGCGCCCGGCGGGCCCGAUCACGUCGUGCUUUUGGAUGAUGAGCGUUUCUUCCAAUCGAACGUGAUAAGUGCGGAGGGUAGCGCUAUGGACACGAGCUCCGGCGUGUGCCCGGCGGGCGAGGGCGAGGAGCUGGCGCCCGACAAGCCGCUGCGCUCGCCGUGAUGCCCGCCGCUGCGGUGGACGC